GUUUGAUCCUGGCUCAGAUUGAACGCUGGCGGCAUGCCUUACACAUGCAAGUCGAACGGUAACGCGGGGCAACCUGGCGACGAGUGGCGAACGGGUGAGUAAUGCAUCGGAACGUGCCCAGUAGUGGGGGAUAGCCCGGCGAAAGCCGGAUUAAUACCGCAUACGACCUACGGGUGAAAGCGGGGACUCGCAAGAGCCUCGCGCUAUUGGAGCGGCCGAUGUCAGAUUAGGUAGUUGGUGGGGUAAAAGCCUACCAAGCCGACGAUCUGUAGCUGGUCUGAGAGGACGACCAGCCACACUGGGACUGAGACACGGCCCAGACUCCUACGGGAGGCAGCAGUGGGGAAUUUUGGACAAUGGGCGCAAGCCUGAUCCAGCCAUGCCGCGUGCGGGAAGAAGGCCUCGGUGUAACG
rnacentral:rRNA from 1 species